UACGUAGGGUGCAAGCGUUGUCCGGAAUUAUUGGGCGUAAAGAGCGUGUAGGCGGCCAGGUAGGUCGGUUGUGAAAACUGGAGGCUCAACCUUCAGAGGUCGACCGAAACCAUCUGGCUAGAGUCCGGGAGAGGAGAGUGGAAGUUCCUGGUGUAGCGGUGAAAUGCGCAGAUAUCAGGAAGAACACCCGUGGCGAAGGCGGCUCUCUGGGACGGUACUGACGCUGAGACGCGAAAGCGUGGGGAGCGAACAGG
rnacentral:rRNA from 1 species